AUUGAACGCUGGCGGCAUGCCUUACACAUGCAAGUCGAACGGCAGCACGGGAUUCAGGCAACUGAGCCCUGGUGGCGAGCGGCGAACGGGUGAGUAACACGUGGGUGACCUGCCCUCAGCUCUGGGAUAAGCCUGGGAAACUGGGUCUAAUACUGGAUAUGACUCCACGGUGCAUGUCGUGGGGUGGAAAGCCUUGUGCGGCUGAGGANGGGCCCGCGGCCUAUCAGCUUGUUGGUGGGGUGAUGGCCUACCAAGGCGACGACGGGUAGCCGGCCUGAGAGGGCGACCGGCCACACUGGGACUGAGACACGGCCCAGACUCCUACGGGAGGCAGCAGUGGGGAAUCUUGCGCAAAUGGGCGAAAGCCUGACGCAGCGACGCCGCGUGAGGGAUGACGCC
rnacentral:rRNA from 1 species